rnacentral:rRNA from 1 species
CGCGUAGGCGGCUUGGCAAGUCAGAUGUGAAAUUUCAUAGCUCAACUAUGAAGCUGCAUAUGAAACUGCCAGGCUAGAGUAUAAAUAGAGAAAAUGGAAUUCCACGUGUAGCGGUGGAAUGCGUAGAUAUGUGGAAGAACACCGGUGGCGAAAGCGGUUUUCUAGUUUAUAACUGACGCUGAGGCGCGAAAGCGAAGGGGGAGCGAACA